rnacentral:rRNA from 1 species
AUUGAACGCUGGCGGCAGGCCUAACACAUGCAAGUCGAACGAGUGGCGGACGGGGGUGUGAUGUCUGGGAGACUGCCUGAUGGCGGGGGAGAACAACUGGAAGAGGGAGCUAAUACCGCAUACUAUCCGAUGUGACAGGAUGGGAUUAGCUUGGUGGUGGGGUAACGGCUCACCAAGGCGACGAUCCGUAGCGGGUCGGAGCGGAUGACCAGCCACACUGGAACUGAGACACGGCCCAGACUCCUCCGGGAGGCAGCAGUGGGGAAUAUUGCAUAAUGGGCGCAAGCCUGACCUAGCCAUGCCACGUGUAUGAAGAAGGGCUUCGGGUUGUAAAGUACUUUCAGCGGGGAGGCGGUACCCUACGAAGAAGCACCGGCUAACUCCGUGCCAGCAGCCGCGGUAAUAC